GUCAAUAAGGAGGCGCGGCGGGAAGAGUGGCGAUACUGUGAAUGUAACAAUUGUGUGCAGGUGGGUUUCCAGCCCGCAACUUCUGAAUACUGCUUAUUUUCUGCUUUCUUUUUAGGGAGAAGAAAUGAUGCGGAGACAACAAGAGAGCGGGGCGGGGGGAGACAAGCAGUGGCAGUGCAGUAACUAGUGGUCCAACAACCAGCAGGACCUGCUUCCUCAGCAAGUUCAGCAUGAGAAAACUGCAGAUAGGCCAGCACUACAGCAAGAUAAGCGCAGGAUUGUCACAAGUGGAGCAUUGAAAAAAGGCUGAAAGCAACCAAACAAGGAACGCUCUUCAUCUGGAAAUAGCCCAAAUUCAUCUUUAAAUAGGUUUACUUGUGAUUAAACCUUACCAAGUAUUAUCAGAACAAAAGGUAAUGGAGAUUCUGCCCUAGGCAUCAAUGCAAUUGAACUGUAUCAAUGGAUUUUUUUAUUUUUAAUAAGCUAAAAGUAUGUUGCCGCUAUUAUUCUCAAGAUCCAAG